rnacentral:lncRNA from 1 species
GGUAGUUUUUCCUAGUAGUUUAUAAUUGGGAUCCUAUUAGUUCUUGAAAUAUCUGCUAUUUUCAUUUCUGUUUGUUUGAAGUGGAAAAAUAAAUUGGGACCUGUAUUAGUUUAAGGGAUUUUAUGUGCUUAGCAUUCAAACAAAUAAAUAUUAGAAUUUAUCAUUUCUUAGUCUCUUCCUUGCAUAAUCCCAGGUUUUUCUCUCCCUUUCUCCCUCUUUGUUUUUCCCUCUAUUUUGGCCCCUAUGGAAAAAAAAAAUGAGAAAUUGAACAUAAGCUUGAUAAUGGACACUGAUCCUAGUACAUCAGUCAGAAACACUGUUAGUGUCUAGGCACUCACAGGCUUUGAUAAUUCUUUUAUCCUGCAGGCUUACUGUGGAUUUCUCCGUCCUGGAGUUUCUUCAGAGAAUCUUUCUGCAGUGGCCACAGGAAACUGGGGCUGUGGUGCCUUUGGGGGUGAUGCCAGGUUAAAAG